CCAACACCGGCUCUUACAGCAGUGCUUACCAUACUUGCCUGAGUGCUGGGCGGUGGGACAGUACAGAGGGGAUUUCUCUGGAUUUGUCACCUUCACAGCUUUGAUCGAUUUUAUAUGAGUAAUUUAAGUUCAGUAUGUAAGGACGGUGUGAAUGCAAAUUUAACCUGUUGUUAGAUCUACAGCACAGAGAGUGAUUGAGCAGCCAGAAAGUCCUGACCGCCUUGAGCCUCGCCGUCAGUGUGACGAGACUAGAAAACAGCAGGUCAACGACCUUGUUGUGCUCAGUGAUGUGGUCCCACCCUGGCAGGAAAACAUUCUGCACAACAUCCUGGUGUGUCAACCUCUGCUCUAUUCCUCACAUGGCCCUGAAGGAAAUUGUUCCAGUGUAACAAAGAUGCAAGAGAUGAUAAUAAGAUGGCGUGUUUGUGCUGGCUCCAGCCACUGGGCCCCUUGGCACGCUCCCUGCUGUGUUUUGAAGAGAUCUCGGAAGCUUGAAGGCGUAAACAGGGCGGCCGGUUCGGAGGACUUCAUAAACAAACUUCCCUCAGCGGUAGUAGAUGCGCUGGUCAAACAGCUGCACAGAGUGAAUGACGCACUAUUUUUGUUUCAGUGGAAAAAUUCAACAGCAUCUCCACAAGUUUACCUACACAAGUUAAAAGAAGGUUAAGGACUCACUAAUGAAGUUAUCAGAAUAAAUCAUCCACUGACACCUGUAAAGUGCAUUCUGAUGAAGUAAUAACAGCCAUGGACUCCAUUAGUUCUCGGCUCCUUUGUGCUUUCUUUUAUGAUGGGUUGUAGACUAAUGACUUAUGCAUUAUACAUUGUUUCUUCCUGUAACUGUUUAAUUGGUUUCCCUUUAAGAGGUUUUGUGGACCACUUUGCUCCUACUCCCCCUUCUGCCACCACCUGGAUCGUUUUCCUUGUCCUCUCUCACUC